rnacentral:rRNA from 1 species
AGAGUUUGAUCAUGGCUCAGAAUCAACGCUGGCGGCGUGCCUAACACAUGCAAGUCGCACGAGAAAGGGACUUCGGUCUUGAGUAAAGUGGCGCACGGGUGAGUAACACGUGACUAAUCUACCCUCGAGUGGGGAAUAACUGAGAGAAAUCUUAGCUAAUACCGCAUAACACUUACGAGUCAAAGCAGCAAUGCGCUUGGGGAGGAGGUCGCGGCCGAUUAGCUAGUUGGCGGGGUAAUGGCCCACCAAGGCGAUGAUCGGUAUCCGGCCUGAGAGGGCGCACGGACACACUGGAACUGAAACACGGUCCAGACUCCUACGGGAGGCAGCAGUGGGGAAUUUUGCGCAAUGGGGGAAACCCUGACGCAGCAACGCCGCGUGGAGGAUGAAGUAUCUUGGUACGUAAACUCCUUUCGAUGGGGAAGAUAAUGACGGUACCCAUAGAAGAAGCCCCGGCUAACUUCGUGCCAGCAGCCGCGGUAAUACGAGGGGGGCAAGCGUUGUUCGGAAUUAUUGGGCAUAAAGGGUGCGUAGGCGGUUUGAUAAGUCAUCUGUGAAAUCUAUGGGCUCAACCCAUAGUCUGCAGGCGAAACUGUCGGGCUUGAGUAUUGGAGAGGUGAGUGGAAUUUCCGGUGUAGCGGUGAAAUGCGUAGAUAUCGGAAGGAACACCUGUGGCGAAAGCGGCUCACUGGACAAUAACUGACGCUGAUGCACGAAAGCUAGGGGAGCAAACAGGAUUAGAUACCCUAGUAGUCC